GUGCUCACUUCAGCACCAAACAUACUGAAAUGGGAACGGUACAGAGAAGAUGAAUGUGGCCCUUGCACAAGGAUGACACGCAAAUUUGUGAAGUGUUCCAUACUUUU